AACUAUUUCAAUCAACACUCUAAUCCAAUUUGACAAAGCAUGAGAGUCAACCUUGCAUGAUGAUAAUACACUUUAAUGUACAUCUUAUUUCAUUUUAUCAACAAAUUUUGAUUCCUGUUUGAUUUAGCUUAAGCUUGUGUUGUCUUGUGAUUCAUCCAUCUUUAACUUGGCCAUCUUGAUGGACGCUUUUUUGAUUUGCAGUUUGUUUAUUUAUUAAAUAUCAUCUUAUAACUGAUCAUCAUUUCAUUUAACAAUCUAUUGAAUCGUGAACACUUAAAUGAUGGAAGCACACGAGAUCGUACAUUGGCAGCUGAUUGAAUAAAUCAUGGUUGAAAGCCUAAAAUGCAAAUCUUAUUGGCUUGGUGUGUUUUAAUCCGAGAUUUCAAGCAUUUAGUGUAUCCAGUUUCAAAUUGUUGACAUAUUUUCGCCUUGACCAACACAUGGACUGUCCUAAUUUGCAGACUGGACCGUUUGGAAUCAAUUUGUAGCCAUUUUAUAUAUUGAUAGUUGACCUUAGCUUCCGCUAUGAAUUUUAAUUGAGCGUUAGCAUAUUUAGGUUAUAUUAAAUGAGAUAUUAUCACUCUCAUUAACGUUAGCUUGAUUAAAAUCACAAUUUCCGGAUAGCCAAUUAACUUUCACUGAGCAAUGCUGUUUUAAUUAGUAUGACAAUGAAAAUUAGCCGUAUGUAAACCAUCAGAUAUCUUGUUAAAGUGUACAAAUCGUUAAUGCACAAUAUAAAUACUUUCUCACAGUUACAAUCAUUUAAACAAAAUAAGUUUCCUACAGUCAAUCUUUAAUCAACUUUCUUUGUUUAACCUUUUUUUACUCUCUAUUGUUUGAUAAAUGUAUUGAUACUCGGGCCCAAAGUGAUGAUUGUUUAAUCAAACAACUACAAUUGCCGUAAAACGAAUGAAUCAAGCAAAGCCAAUAAACAUCAAGCUUAUUCGGUCAACAUUAAACUUCAAUUUUAUAAAUAGCUGAGAUUAAAGUUUCCUGGCCUCACCAUUUACAUUGUAUUAUUAAUAUACAUCGAUACAAACAUUCACUUGGAAAGUUACUUUAUUGUAUUCAUUAAAUUAAGUCAUUAUUACUACCAGAA